GCCUGGGUGGCUUCAUUGGUUAAGCAUCUGACUUCAGCUCAGGUCAUGAUCUCGCGGCUUGUGAGUUCGAGCCCCAUGUCAGGCU
rnacentral:tRNA from 1 species